CACAAGCGGUGGAUGAUGUGGUUUAAUUCGAUGCAACGCGAAAACCUUACCACCUUUGACAUGUACGGAACCCUUUAGAGAUAGAGGGGUGCUCGAAAGAGAGCCGUAACACAGGUGCUGCAUGGCUGUCGUCAGCUCGUGUCGUGAGAUGUUGGGUUAAGUCCCGCAACGAGCGCAACCCUUGUCAUUAGUUGCUACAUUCAGUUGGGCACUCUAAUGAGACUGCCGGUGACAAGCCGGAGGAAGGUGGGGAUGACGUCAAGUCCUCAUGGCCCUUAUAGGUGGGGCUACACACGUCAUACAAUGGCUGGUACAAAGGGUUGCCAACCCGCGAGGGGGAGCCAAUCCCAUAAAGCCAGUCGUAGUCCGGAUCGUAGUCUGCAACUCGACUACGUGAAGUCGGAAUCGCUAGUAAUCGUGGAUCAGAAUGUCACGGUGAAUACGUUCCCGGGUCUU
rnacentral:rRNA from 1 species